rnacentral:misc_RNA from 1 species
CCUCCUUAACGAUAAAUUCGCGUUUUAAACGCCCACACGAGUAAUCAAAUAUUAAGAAGAAGAACAUUUAGUUAUGUAAAAUCAUUGGUAUGUAAUUUUCUAGUGUAUACAUUUAUGUAUACAUAAGAUCACUGCAAUUAAAAAGUAACGCAUGCAUUUAUGUGUGCGUUAAAAAAGUAAUUAAUAUAUUUUAUUAAGUUACUCUCAAAAUGAAGAUAAAACUUCAAUAAAAAAUAAUAACCUUUUUUAAGGUUAUAUGAUCAAGUAAAGGAAGAGCACAAGGCGGAUGCCUUGGCAGCAUAAGGCGAUGAAGGACGUAAUAACCUGCGAUAAGCCUCGGGGAGCUGGUAAAUAAGCUUCGAUCCGAGGAUUUCCGA